GCCUCCGGGGCGACCCUGCCUUCGGGCGGGGGCUCCGGGUGGACACUUCAAACUCUUGCGUAACUUUGCAGUCUGAGUAAACUUAAUUAAUAAAUUAAAACUUUUAACAACGGAUCUCUUGGUUCUGGCAUCGAUGAAGAACGCAGCGAAAUGCGAUAAGUAAUGUGAAUUGCAGAAUUCAGUGAAUCAUCGAAUCUUUGAACGCACAUUGCGCCCCCUGGUAUUCCGGGGGGCAUGCCUGUUCGAGCGUCAUUUCACCACUCAAGCCUCGCUUGGUAUUGGGCAACGCGGUCCGCCGCGUGCCUCAAAUCGACCGGCUGGGUCUUCUGUCCCCUAAGCGUUGUGGAAACUAUUCGCUAAAGGGUGUUCGGGAGGCUACGCCGUAAAACAACCCCAUUUCUAAGGUUGACCUCGGAUCAGGUAGGGAUACCCGCUGAACUUAAGCAUAUCAAUAAGCGGAGGAANCNCNUU
rnacentral:rRNA from 1 species